rnacentral:rRNA from 1 species
AUUGAACGCUGGCGGCAUGCCUUACACAUGCAAGUCGAACGGGUGUAGCAAUACAUCAGUGGCGCACGGGUGAGUAACGCGUGGGAACGUGCCCUUCAGUACGGGACAACGUCGGGAAACUGACGCUAAUACCGUAUAAUAUCUCCGGAUCAAAGAUUUAUCGCUGAAGGAUCGGCCCGCGUCUGAUUAGUUUGUUGGUGAGGUAACGGCUCACCAAGACUACGAUCAGUAGCUGGUCUGAGAGGAUCGAUCAGCCACACUGGGACUGAGACACGGCCCAGACUCCUACGGGAGGCAGCAGUUAGGAAUAUUGGACAAUGGGGGAAACCCUGAUCCAGCCAUGCCGCGUGUGUGAUGAAGGGCCUUAGGGUUGUAAAGCACGUUUCGUUGGGGAGUGAUAAUGACCGUACCCAAA